UUUCCAGUCCCCAGGGUGUGGUUUGGCCACGAUGACCGGCACCUCUUGGCGUUGGGCUCACCAGGGCUGACCUGGGGAGGGACUGGGGAUACUGGGAGGAACUGGGACGGACUGGGAGGAACUGGUGAGGACUGGGAGGAACUGGUGAGGGUGCUGAGCAGGGUCCUGAGCCCCUUUCCCAGUCCCCAGGGUGCAGUUCGCCCACGACGACCGGCACCUGCUGGCCUGCUGCUCGCUGGACGGCACCAUCUCGGUGUGCCGCCUGGCGCCGGGCCCGCCGGCGGUGCUGCGGGUGCUGCGGGGCCACGGGGCGGGCGUGGCGGACGUGGCCUGGUCGCUGGCCAACGACGUCCUGGUCUCGGCCUCCCUCGACGCCACGCUGCGGCUCUGGGCCCCCGCCGACGGCCGCUGCAUCCGCCGCGUGCCCGACCCCGACGGCGCCGCCCUGCUCUGCUGCGCCUUCCAGCCCCUCAACAACAACCUCACCGUGGUGAGUCGCCUCGCCCCGCCCCCCCGGGGCAGG
rnacentral:lncRNA from 1 species